rnacentral:rRNA from 1 species
AUACGGAGGACGCGAGCGUUAUCCGGAUUCAUUGGGUUUAAAGGGUGCGCAGGCGGCCGUGCAAGUCAGCGGUGAAAGCCCGGGGCUCAACCCCGGAAGUGCCGUUGAUACUGCAUGGCUGGAAUGCGGUCGAGGCGGGCGGGACGUGGCGGGUAGCGGGGGAAUGCGUAGAUAUGGCACAGAAAGCCGAUAGCGGAGGCAGCUCGCCAGGCCUGCAUUGACGCUCGGGCACGAAAGCGUGGGGAUCGAACAGGAUUAGAUACCCUGGUAGUCCACGCCGUAAACGAUGGGCGCUCGUCGUCGGCGGCAGACAGUCGGCGGCCAAGCGAAAGCGAUAAGCGCCCCACCUGGGGAGUACGGUCGCAAGGCUAAAACUCAAAGGAAUUGACGGGG